rnacentral:rRNA from 1 species
GUGUCAGCAGCCGCGGUAAUACAGAGGGUGCAAGCGUUAAUCGGAAUUACUGGGCGUAAAGCGCACGUAGGUGGUCACUUAAGUCAGGUGUGAAAUCCCCGGGCUCAACCUGGGAAUUGCAUUUGAUACUGGGUGUCUAGAGUAUGUUAGAGGGAAGUGGAAUUUCCGGUGUAGCGGUGAAAUGCGUAGAUAUCGGAAGGAACAUCAGUGGCGAAGGCGACUUCCUGGAAUAAUACUGACACUGAGGAGCGAAAGCGUGGGGAGCGAACAGGAUUAGAUACCCUGGUAGUCC